rnacentral:rRNA from 1 species
UACGGGGGGGGCAAGCGUUGUUCGGAAUUACUGGGCGUAAAGGGCUCGUAGGCGGCCAACUAAGUCAGACGUGAAAUCCCUCGGCUUAACCGAGGAACUGCGUCUGAUACUGGAUGGCUUGAAUCCGGGAGAGGGAUGUGGAAUUCCAGGUGUAGCGGUGAAAUGCGUAGAUAUCAGGAGGAACACCGGUGGCGAAGGCGGGUCUCUGGGCCGAUACUGACGCUGAGGAGCGAAAGCGUGGGGAGCGAACAGG